UUUUAAGUAGUCAUUUUUAUAUACACAUGUAUAUAUUCAUAUAUUACACAUUUAAUACAGGCAUAUUGAGAUCGAUCAUGAAGAGAACAGAAAAAAAAGUGGCUGAGAUAUUUGUAAAAAUGUACAUUUCAUGAGAAAUCAUAUACACACACAAUUUUGCUUUUUUAACUCUCCUUUUGACAGACAUACAUACAUAUAAAGAAUUCCCAUAAUGACAAGCUCCCCCCCCAAAAAAAAACACAGGGUGUUAUGUAGAGACAGCAAGAACCAGCUUGCUAAAUAUACGUUGCAUAUAUAUUCCCGUUUCUGUGUGGGGUUUCUCUGAUCGGAGGGGUGAAUCGAGAGUAGCCUGUGCUGUUUAAAGGAGAACUCCACAAAAACAUGUUGUUCCACUCUAAACGUUCCUCACCUGCUACAUUUGUUUUGCAUGAUAAUGCUUUAGUUUAGUUAAACUCCAUUCAGAUAACCUCACAGCAUUUGGUUGGGACAGUAUGGUGUCAUAUAGUGUUCUUGAAGAGAUUUAAAUAAAUGUUGAGUUUUUUGUGUAUUAUUUUACCCAUCAUACAACUAAACUAAGUAUCUGCCUCUACAAUGCUACUGAAGGUUGCAAAUCUCAUCUUUAAAAAACAUUGUACACACAAUUUAAACAUUUCCAAUAAAAACAGUGGUGAUUCAGAUUAAUCCAUGCCCUUACAAAACGAAAUCUUGACCGAAUCGUACUGUGUACAAAACAAAUAAUAUUUUAAACAUCAACAUUGUUAAACAAUAAUUACUUCUUUCUCAUAGUUAUUAAAUUCUGUGGCCACAUGGUCUAAGUAUUUUGUUGUUAUACUGAACAGUUUUAUUUGAGGAUAGGUUGGAUACAGAGAUACAUAGAGAUAGAUAGAGAGGAGUCUAGAUGGAUAUAUAUGGAGAUGAGUCCUCUAACUAUCUCUAUGAGCGGAUCACAUAUUAACUAGUAAGCGAUGCGAUGUGACGAAAGGCACCUUUUUAUACAAGUAAGAGAAAGGCUUGGAUUAACCAGAUCUACUCAGAGUGCCUCUGAAAUGGCACACUAUUCCAUAGUGCACUACUAUUAAACAAAAUAAUUGAACUAUAUACUGUGGGGCAUAGGCUGUCAUUUCAGAAGCAGCAAGAACGUUAACAGUAUCAAACCCUAACUGUUCCAAAGACCAGGUGUCUACAAGGAUACGGUGGUCAGAUGGCCACAUACAGGAUGGACAGUAACAGUACAAAUCUAGUAUUGAAGUAACCUACAAUGCCUAGAGGGGCCUUUAGAAAAUAGUCCACAAUCACAAUGUUGCUGAUGUGCCCAUUAUCAAUGUUUGUAAUGACAAUACAGUACUGAUCAUUUACCUAUACCUAUGUCAAAACAAUGGUUUGGGGUAGGAGGCAUUGGAUGAAAAAGGCAUACAAAAACAUGUUUGUGAUAUUGAUAGAACUAACUGCUACAUAACGUGUAUGCAUAUCCCUCCAUCUAGGAGAUGUAACCCAUCUAGAUACUGGUCCUCCAUUGUUAUAUAAGGCAAGAAUGAAUCCCUCAGUAUGACAUCGAGUCAGCACCAAGAACCUUUGUCUGUCUCUCUCCUCACAGGCAAACAUGGCAGUUACAGUAUGUAACCUAUCCCAUCUGGAUAGAAUUGUAUUACCGUUAUCAACAGAUGUCAAGGUAUAUUUUCUUAAGGCAUUUCUAGAAUUGAUUUGGCCUGAUUUUGAUUAAGAAGCUAGGUCAGUAGGCUGUCCAGUGCUCUUAAAUAGACAGAAGGCUUUUUGGGAACAAAGAUCUCUCUCUGAUCGAAGAGAGAAAAAUACCCAAGAUUGAAAAGACUUUCAAAGGUGACAUGGUAGCAAAGAGAGAACUGAGACAGUGAGUCCACUGGAUCAGUGGUUUCUGGAAGACAGAUGCCUUUGGGUUUGACUGGUGUAGAAACUAGAGGCAUUUUCCUUUCAAUGUCCGAAAACAGUACUAUUAUAAAACAACAACUGGCACAAGAUUAGUGCUUUCUUUUUUGUUAGCAGUGUUUUUUAACAUACAAAAAGGGCAGAAAGAAACGAUAGGCACGUUUCUCCAUGAAUUUAUCCACAGUAAAGAAGAGGCACUGAGGUCAGUUAAGUAUGAGUUGCACCUGUCACUCGGCCGUGUCAUUGCCAUUGUUAUCAAAGUUCUAGACGUCACAGCCAUAUUGAUACCCAAAAGUAGAACGUGGGCUAAUGACUGUUUUGUCGAAAUUACACUAUAGUGGCAUGGAAAUACGAUGACAUUGCUAAAGUAGGCAAAUAUUUAGUAAGAAACAACUUUGCCAUCAUUAUCAUGUUGUCAAAUGUACUUCAUGCAGAUGGAAAUGUUGUCAUUACCUAGCACAGUUCGUCAAAAAUAGCUAGCAAUGCUAAAGUUAGCUAUCCGGUGAAUUCCACUCAAUCUUAGCUAGCUAGCAAACAUUAUACUGCAUCUAAAGUUAAUAUAGCAACAUCAAAAUGAUGACAAAAGGUUUUCCUACGAAUUAUUUGCCUUCUUUAGUAAUAUAAUUAUAUUUCCAAGCCACUGCAAUGCACUUUUGAUUAAAAAUUCAUCAUCACAAAUUGACAAUGCAUUGAGUGGAAUGAUCAGUCGGGCAUCAGUCCUAAAACCAAUGUUCAAAACAAUAUUGUGACGAAACGUGCAGCCCACAAAUUGUUUUUUUCCUUUGAACAAAAACACUUAAAAAGUACUUUGUAUGGUUGUCUGAAGCAACAUACAACCAAUUAAGCUUGUGCCAUGACAGUUUUAGAGAAGCUGUUUAGUUUAAGACAGCUUCUACUUCAAUUUCUUCAUUGCACACAAUCAGAAUAGAAAAAAAGACAAAUCUGUAAAAAGAGAUCGAGUUAAGUCUUGCAAAGUACAAUCAAUACUCAGCGACCGUAUUUUGACUGGAGAAGAGAAGGAGAGGGGGGUGAGGGAAGAAACUACGGCCUUUCCACUCCUCUUCUCACAUCUUCUCUUCUCACCGUUUUACACAAAAUCUUUGUUACUCAAGAGCUUCAGUGGAACACAGAACAUUUACAAAGGAGAGAAAAUAAAAUGUCCGGAAAGAUUGUUAGUGCAGAAUUUUUUUCCCAAUUUUUUUGUGGAAUAUAU
rnacentral:lncRNA from 1 species